UAUCUCUGUAGAGUCUGCAUAUCAAUAAGCGGAGGAAAAGAAACUAACUAGGAUUCCCUCAGUAACGGCGAGUGAAGCGGGAAGAGCUCAAAUUUGAAAUCUUCAAGGUUCUACCUUGACGAAUUGUAGUUUAAAGAAGUGUUUUCUGUUGGAGUUUUGGUAAAAGUUCUUUGGAAUAGGACAUCAUAGAGGGUGAGAAUCCCGUAUUUGACCAUUAUUUCCAGCUUUGUGAUACACUUUCAAAGAGUCGGAUUGUUUGGGAAUGCAGUCCAAAAUGGGUGGUAAAUUUCAUCUAAAGCUAAAUAUUGGCGAGAGACCGAUAGCGAACAAGUACCGCGAGGGAAAGAUGAAAAGAACUUUGAAAAGAGAGUUAAACAGUACGUGAAAUUGUCAAAAGGGAAGCGUUUGACACCAGUGUUGUUUUCUCGAAAAUCAAUUAAAAAAGGCAGGAUUUUGUGUUGUAUUGACUUUAUCAGCUUUCUGCACUCUUUUCUUGUCUUAUUUUAAUGCACUUUUCGUUUAACAAGUCAACAUCAAUUUCUUUUGUUGUAAAAGGGUCAUUGGAAGGUGGCUUUCUUUUCGGAGAAAGUGUUUAUAGCCUUUGGCCUCUGCAAUCGGAGAGAUUGAGGUCUGCAGCGUAGAUCCUUCGGGGUUAGAUACAUUUGUGCUAAGUUAUAGCCUUUCAUAGACAACUUGUUGACUAUGAUCAGUCAUGUAGCUUACUCGCUUAUGCUAUUUUACCUACGCUUAGGAUGUUGAUAGUCACAGCGUGUAC
rnacentral:rRNA from 1 species